rnacentral:rRNA from 1 species
ACGAACGCUGGCGGCGUGCUUAACACAUGCAAGUCGAACGGAAAGGCCCCUUUGGGGGUACUCGAGUGGCGAACGGGUGAGUAACACGUGAGUAACCUGCCCUUGACUUCGGGAUAACUUCAGGAAACUGGGGCUAAUACCGGAUAGGAAUCCUUGCUGCAUGGUGGGGGUUGGAAAGCUUCGGCGGUUUUGGAUGGACUCGCGGCUUAUCAGCUUGUUUGUGGGGUAGUGGCUUACCAAGGCUUUGACGGGUAGCCGGCCUGAGAGGGCGACCGGCCACAUUGGGACUGAGAUACGGCCCAGACUCCUACGGGAGGCAGCAGUGGGGAAUAUUGCACAAUGGGCGGAAGCCUGAUGCAGCAACGCCGCGUGCGGGAUGACGGCCUUCGGGUUGUAAACCGCUUUCAGCAGGGGCGAAGCUUGUGGUGACGGUACCUGCAGAAGAAGCACCGGCUAACUACGUG